rnacentral:rRNA from 1 species
UACAUGGGGUGCAAACGUUGCUCGGAAUUAUUGGGCGUAAAGCGCGCGUAGGCGGUUACUCAAGUCGGAUGUGAAAGCCCUCGGCUUAACUGAGGAAGUGCACCCGAAACUGAGUAGCUAGAGUACCAAAGAGGGUCGCGGAAUUCCCGGUGUAGAGGUGGAAUGCGUAGAGAUCCGGAAGAACACCGGUGGCGAAGGCGGCCUGCUGGGCAGUUUAGCUGACACUGAGGCGCGACAGCGUGGGGAGCAAACAGG